AUUGAACGCUGGCGGAAUGCUUUACACAUGCAAGUCGAGCGGCAGCGCGGGGCAACCUGGCGGCGAGCGGCGAACGGGUGAGUAAUACAUCGGAACGUACCCAGUUGUGGGGGAUAGCCCGGCGAAAGCCGGAUUAAUACCGCAUACGACCUGAGGGUGAAAGGGGGGAGUCGCAAGACCUCUCGCAGUUGGAGCGGCCGAUGGCGGAUUAGCUAGUUGGUGAGGUAAAGGCUCACCAAGGCGACGAUCCGUAGCUGGUCUGAGAGGACGACCAGCACACUGGAACUGAGACACGGUCCAGACUCCUACGGGAGGCAGCAGUGGGGAAUUUUGGACAAAUGGGGGGCAACCCUGAUCCAGCCAUUCCGCGUGAGUGAAGAAGGCCUUCGGUUGUAAAGACGUCUUUCGGUCCGAGGAACGAAACGGUAGGGUCCGU
rnacentral:rRNA from 1 species